AAGCCCAUGAUGGUAUGAGAGUAG
rnacentral:piRNA from 2 species